GGUGUCUCUCAGGUGACAUACCCCGGAAUCGGGCUCCCUCCUCUCUGGUUCUGGGCGCACCACUGGAGAACCACA
rfam:Myotis davidii contig167174, whole genome shotgun sequence.